GGAAAUCUGAAAUUCCAUUCUCAGAACAGAAAGACGACAGUCUGUGACGCCACAGUGCCUAGUUAGAGUUGAACCCAAUUCCCCACCACUGUGCUAAGAUGCCAGGACUUCACCGACAUGGAUGGCAUUAUGCCAAUGUAGAUAUAUUGUCAAAAAGCAGCAAUUGCAACUGAUUAUGGUGAUGCCAAUAAACCUCCAAAUGCAUCAAGGGAUUUUGGUGAUUAUCCUGUGGAUGAGUUGGGUGCUAAAAAUGACAUAGAUGAGAAUGUAGUUUAUGAUGAUCAACCCCCCUAUGAGGAAAACAUUCAAUGUUACAAUGACCUUGGUUUAGAUGAUCUAGUAUGCUUGUGGCUUUGUUUGAAACACUGUUAUUUGCUUUGUGUGGUUUUUGUGAGACAUAACGUAUGUGUGUGGUGUUAGAACUUUGUAUUUCUAAGUUGUAACUUUAAACUUUGAAAUUUGUUCAUGUAUUUGUAAUU